AGAGUUUGAUCCUGGCUCAGGACGAACGCUGGCGGCGUGCCUAACACAUGCAAGUCGAACGGAAAUAAGCUCUAAGCUUGCUUAGAGCGAGUUUUAGUGGCGUUUUAGUGGCGGACGGGUGAGUAACGCGUGGGUAACCUACCCAUAAACCCGGGACAACCCUUGGAAACGAGGGCUAAUACCGGAUAAUCUUAAGAGCUGGCAUCAGCUUUUAAGGAAAGGUGGCCUCUGUAUAUGCUACCACUUACAGAUGAGUCUGCGUCCUAUCAGCUAGUUGGUGGGGUAAAAGCCUACCAAGGCGAAGACGGGUAGCCGGCCUGAGAGGGUGAACGGCCACACUGGGACUGAGACACGGCCCAGACUCCUACGGGAGGCAGCAGUGAGGAAUUUUCCGCAAUGGGCGCAAGCCUGACGGAGCGACGCCGCGUGAGGGAUGACGGCCUUCGGGUUGUAAACCUCUUUUAUUAGGGAAAAAGGCAAUCGUGCUAACACCACGGUUUGUUUGAUGGUACCUGUUGAAUAAGCCCCGGCUAACUACGUGCCAGCAGCCGCGGUAAUACGUAGGGGGCGAGCGUUGUCCGGAGUUACUGGGCGUAAAGAGCGUGUAGGCGGUUGGAAAAGUCAGGUGUGAAAUUCUUCGGCUCAACCGGGGGACUGCGCCUGAAACUUUCCGACUGGAGUUUGGGAGGGGGUGGUGGAAUUCCCGGUGUAGAGGGUGAAAUGUGUAGAUAUCAGGAGGAACACCCGUGGCGAAGGCGGGUUGCUGGACCAAAACUGACGCUGAGACGCGAAAGCGUGGGUAGCAAACAGGAUUAGAUACCCUGGUAGUCCACGCCCUAAACGAUGAGAACUAGGUGUUGGGUAGACCCCUUCUGCGCCACAGCUAACGCAAUAAGUACUCCGCCUGGGGAGUACGGUCGCAAGACUGAAACUCAAAGGAAUUGACGGGGGCCCGCACAAGCGGUGGAGUAUGUGGUUUAAUUCGACGCAACGCGAAGAACCUUACCAAGGCUUGACAUCCUGUGAUAUAGAAAUAUAGACUUCUUAGUUUACUAAGACACAGAGACAGGUGGUGCAUGGUUGUCGUCAGCUCGUGUCGUGAGAUGUUGGGUUAAGUCCCGCAACGAGCGCAACCCCUACAGCCAGUUGCCAGCACUCAGUUGGGCACUCUGGCAGAACUGCCGUUGACAAAACGGAGGAAGGUGGGGAUGACGUCAAAUCAUCAUGCCCCUUAUGUCUUGGGCUACACACGUACUACAAUGCCCGGUACAGCGAGUUGCAAAACCGCGAAGUUAAGCGAAUCCCUUAAAACAGGUCCCAGUUCGGAUUGUAGGCUGCAACUCGCCUACAUGAAGUUGGAAUCGCUAGUAAUCGCAGGUCAGCAUACUGCGGUGAAUACGUUCCCGGGCCUUGUACACACCGCCCGUCACACCACGAAAGUCGGCAACACCCGAAGCCGGUGACUCAACCCGAAAGGGAGAGAGCCGUCGAAGGUGGGGUUGGUAAUUGGGGUGAAGUCGUAACAAGGUAACCA
rnacentral:rRNA from 1 species